UGGCUCAGAGGUUAAAGCGUCUGCCUGGAAUGCAGGAGACCGGGGUUCGAUCCCUG
rnacentral:tRNA from 1 species